AAGUCGAGCGGGCCCUUCGGGGUCAGCGGCGGACGGGUGAGUAACGCGUGGGAACGUGCCUUCUGGUUCGGAAUAACCCUGGGAAACUAGGGCUAAUACCGGAUACGCCCUUUUGGGGAAAGGUUUACUGCCGGAAGAUCGGCCCGCGUCUGAUUAGCUAGUUGGUGGGGUAACGGCCUACCAAGGCGACGAUCAGUAGCUGGUCUGAGAGGAUGAUCAGCCACACUGGGACUGAGACACGGCCCAG
rnacentral:rRNA from 1 species